UACAGAGGUGCCAAGCGUUGUUCGGAUUUAUUGGGCGUAAAGGGUGCGUAGGCGGUUUGUCGCGUCGGGAGUGAAAACACCGGGCUUAACUCGGUGCUUGCUUUCGAUACGGGCAGACUAGAGGCAUGCAGGGGAGAACGGAAUUCCUGGUGUAGCGGUGAAAUGCGCAGAUAUCAGGAGGAACACCAGUGGCGAAGGCGAUCAUCUGGGAUUAACCUGACGCUGAGGAGCGAAAGCCAGGGGAGCAAACGGG
rnacentral:rRNA from 1 species